UACGUAGGGGGCAAGCGUUGUCCGGAUUUAUUGGGCGUAAAGAGCGUGUAGGCGGCUUGGUAGGUCCGCUGUGAAAACUCGAGGCUCAACCUCGAGAUGUCGGCGGAAACCACUUGGCUAGAGUCCGGAAGAGGCGAGUGGAAUUCCUGGUGUAGCGGUGGAAUGCGCAGAUAUCAGGAGGAACACCAAUAGCGAAGGCAGCUCGCUGGGACGGUACUGACGCUGAGGCGCGAAAGCGUGGGGAGCGAACAGG
rnacentral:rRNA from 1 species